GCGGUUGGAAGAUAAUAACGGAGGAGCUGCUGCUGCUGCCACCGCCGAAGACGCAGAACGGCUCUUCCCUAAAUGCUUGCACACAACUCUGAGUCCUGCUGUCACUUUUUGACUCUUGUUGUUUGUAAUAUUACUACUACUACUAUUAUCUACUUUCACUGAUGGAUCAUGUUUCUUCUGUGUUUUCUCCGCUAAUGGAGUACCUUUGUCGUUAAACUUGUCCCCGUACCUACGAGAAACUUUAACAUACAAAGGCUUCACCAGUUUCAAGUACUUUUGCAUUGCCUCCUUUGAGAAACGUUGUUUCUCUUCCUGUGACGAGUCCUUCUUCUUGUUUUUAUGAGACGAUUCUGGAGGAAGAGAAUCAGAGGAUGUUGACUUGGAUUUCUUGAGAGCAGACAUGAAGACACGAAACUUGGAAGAGGAAUUAAAGUGAUGAGGUUUGGGGUUGGGUUCAUUAUCAUCGUCCACAACAUGCAAUAGCUUUCCAUUGAAGAACAAGUCUUCAGAAGGAGACAGAGAUAUGUUAGGGUCCUCUAUCUGCAUUAACUUAAAGUCUCUCUCAGCCUCACACUCUUCGUCUUCUUCGUUGUGGUGAUUGUGGUUACCAUCUUCUGCGUCGUCGGGUAAAGUGAACUCUAUGUCAAAGAAAGGACCGUCGUCGCCGGAGUCGGUGAGGAUGGUGGUGGUUGAAGAAGAAAGGAGACGGAGUCCAGGAGCAGCACGCCAGUACUUGAGUAAGGUAAAAGCUUCCAUGGUUGGGAGAGCCAGUAUACACAACUCGC
rnacentral:lncRNA from 1 species